rnacentral:rRNA from 1 species
CUCCUACGGGAGGCAGCAGUGGGGAAUCUUGCACAAUGGGGGAAACCCUGAUGCAGCGACGCCGCGUGAGCGAUGAAGCCCUUCGGGGUGUAAAGCUCUUUCGGCAGGAACGAUAAUGACGGUACCUGCAAAAGAAGCUGCGGCUAACUACGUGCCAGCAGCCGCGGUAAUACGUAGGCAGCAAGCGUUGUUCGGAGUUACUGGGCGUAAAGAGUAUGUAGGCGGUUUGCCAAGUCCGGCGUGAAAUCUCCCGGCUCAACUGGGAGGGUGCGCCGGAUACUGGUAGGCUAGAGUGCGGGAGAGGAGAGCGGAAUUCCUGGUGUAGCGGUGAAAUGCGUAGAUAUCAGGAGGAACACCGGUGGCGAAGGCGGUUCUCUGGACAUUUCCUGACGCUGAGAAGCGAAAGCGUGGGUAGCAAACAGGCUUAGAUACCCUGGUAGUCCACGCCGUAAACGGUGGGUACUAGGUGUGGGGGACAUUCCACGUUCUCCGUGCCGCAGCUAACGCAUUAAGUACCCCGCCUGGGGAGUACGGCCGCAAGGCUAAAACUCAAAGGAAUUGACGG